AACUAUAUGGUAGAUAAUUACGCUUAGUUUAAGCCUAAGCCAUUACAACCAAUCUAGAGAUC
rnacentral:tRNA from 1 species